UCGGGAAUAUUGGGCAAUGGGCGAAAGCCUGACCCAGCAACGCCGCGUGAAGGAAGAAGGUUUUCGGAUUGUAAACUUCUGUGGCAGGGGAAAAACAUAAUGAUGGUACCCUGUUAGAAAGUCACGGCAAACUAUGUGCCAGCAGCCGCGGUAAUACAUAGGUGACAAGCGUUAUCCGGAAUAACUGGGCGUAAAGGGAGUGUAGGUGGUUUCUUAAGUUAGAUGUGAAAGACCCGGGCUUAACCCAGGAACUGCAUCUAAUACUGAGUGACUAGAGUGUGAGAGAGGUAAGUGGAAUUCCUAGUGUAGCGGUGGAAUGCGUAGAGAUUAGGAGGAACACCAGAGGCGAAAGCGACUUACUGGCUCAUUACUGACACUGAGGCUCGAAAGCGUGGGGAGCAAACA
rnacentral:rRNA from 1 species